ACCCGCUGAAUUUAAGCAUAUAAGUAAGCGGUGGAAAAUGAACCAAAUGGGAUUCCUUUAGUAAUUGCGAAUGAACAAGGAUGUGCUCAGCUUGACAAAUGGAGUUUUUGAGCUUUGAAUUGUAAUUUUGCAAUGCAUCACCAGCGGAGGUACAGUUGCAAGCCUUUUGAAAGACAGCGCCAUUGAGGGUGAAAUUCCUUUUUGUCUUCUGCAACCUUUGUGCACGGUAUGUAUUUGGUGAAUCACAUUCCUCGGCAUUGGAAUGCAAAUUGGGUGGUAAAUUUCACGCAAGGGAAAAUAUAUUAUUGAGUCUGAUAAUGAACAAGUACCAUGAGGGAAAUAUGCAAAGGACUUUGAAAAGAAAAUUAAAAGAGCUUGCAUUUGCUAAACAGAAAACUAGCAGAAGUGCUUUAUCUUGGUAAGAUUGCUGCGCAUGGGUUUACUGUGUAAAUUGUAUGAGCAUUGGUUCUUACUUUGUGUGUCAAUUCCAUUGUCAAUUUUAAUAUCUUUGUUCAUGAAUUGUGAAAUGCUUGCGGGUGUUAGAUUGCAUGUGCAUUCAUUAAUUUGGACUUGGUGCAGUGCUUGGCAAUAGCUUGCAUGUAGAGUGUGCGUGCAAUGUACAAUUGCGAUUGUCAGCUGUUGCCAACCACUUUUGUUGGCAAUGUGAUUCUGCUUGACCCGUCUUGAAACACGGACCAAGGAGUCUAACAGAUGUGCAAGUUCUGGGGUGUGCACACCCUGUAGCUUAAUGAAUGUGUUUGCUGGGAUAUGUGCACCAGCAGCUGACUGAUUAACAGACAGAGGUUUGAGUUUGAGCAUAUCUAUUAGGACCCGAAAGAUGGUGAACUAUGCCUGCACAGAACGAAUCCAGAGGAAACUCUGGUGGAGGUUCGUAUUGAUACUGACGUGCAAAUCGUUCGUCAUACUUGGGUAUAGGGGCGAAAGACUAAUCGAACCAUCUAGUAGCUGGUUCCCUCCGA
rnacentral:rRNA from 1 species